GAAGCGCGUCCAAUGGAGGAAGGUUUGGCGGAAGCCAUUGACGAAGGGCGUAUUGGUCCACGUGACGACCCAAAGGUCCGAGGAAAGAUUCUCUCAGAAGAAUUCGGUUGGGACAAGGAUCUUGCCAAGAAGAUCUGGUGUUUUGGACCUGAAACAACUGGACCCAACAUGGUUGUUGACAUGUGUAAGGGAGUCCAGUACCUGAACGAAAUCAAGGAUUCGGUUGUUGCUGGUUUCCAAUGGGCAUCAAAGGAAGGCGCGUUGGCUGAAGAGAACAUGAGAGGCAUCUGUUUUGAAGUGUGUGAUGUUGUGCUCCAUGCUGAUGCUAUUCAUCGUGGUGGUGGACAAGUUAUCCCGACUGCCCGACGUGUGAUCUAUGCGUCUCAGCUGACCGCAAAACCAAGGUUGUUGGAGCCGGUUUACUUGGUGGAAAUUCAAGCACCGGAGCAGGCGCUUGGUGGAAUCUACAGUGUGCUGAAUCAAAGGCGUGGGCAUGUGUUUGAGGAGAU
rnacentral:lncRNA from 1 species